CACACAACAGUUUACAGUACUCGAAUUAGAGUAUCUGUUAAAAAUGGGAGAUACAUUAAUUUUUCCAUUAUUUUUAUUAAUACUGGGAAUUAUUAUUUCAUAUUAUCUAGUUAAAUGUUAUUUACGGGGACUUCGGACUAUGUUCAUUUUCAUGGUCACUUGUUUGGCUGCUUUGUUCAUAUUUUUUAAUAUUCGAAUGAUGUGAUGUUUAUUCAGCCAUGUAUCAGCAGUGUUUAAUCUCGAUGGUUAGAUUUCAACAGGAGCGUGACAAUAAAUCAGAAGGACCCAAUUUCUUCUGCACGUCUACACUUUCUCCAAACUCCCAAAAUGGGUUGCAUGAAAUGUUUAUCAACAUGGUGAUUUACAGCUUAAG